GACCUAUGAUGAUGACUGGUGGCGUAUGAGU
rnacentral:piRNA from 1 species